rnacentral:lncRNA from 1 species
GUCUACAUAUUUAUAUUACUCUAGGGCUAUAUGCCUUCGUUAAAUAGCCUUCAUUAACCACUGAGACAAAAAAAGCGCACACGUAAUAUCUAUAUAAAAUUAAAUUAAAUUAAAUUUAUGCAUUUAGCAGACGCUUUUAUCCAAAGCGACUUACAGUGCAUUCAGGCUAUCAAUUGUUACCUAUCAUGUGUUCCCGGGGAAUCGAACCCCCAACCUUGCGCUUCGUAACGCAUAUUUUUAUGUGUAGUGAACAUGCAAGAGAAUUAUGAUGAUGUCAUCAUUAAUAGACCGAGCUCUCAAAGGAUAACAGAGGGAGUUCAGGAGGUGUAUGAUGAUGUCAUGAGCGUCAGUGAAGAUGUGAGAAACCUGUUGGAUUAUGAUGAUGUGGAGGAGGAGUCAAACAAAGAAGGGGGCCAUUUGGCUCAAUGAUCUCAUCCACUGCUUCGGUUCAACACACCUGAACAAAGUCUGAGUCAUUGAUAUAUUGAUAUUGUUAUUGAUAUGUCAAAUCUCAGGUUUUUAUAUUUUUCCCAUCUUUUUGUAUUAAAUCUGUUAUGCCUUUGUGGGAUUUUGUUGGAUUUUCUGGGGGCUUGUUAAUAGGAAUAAAAAAAAUUCAGACAAGUUUUUGUAUGUCAAUAAGAGAUUACAUGAUCCUUGAAGUCAAAUGUCUGAUCUUACAUGAUAAAGCACAAACACAGUGACAAUCAAAACAUCCUAAAUAUAAACCCAAAUGACCAUCAGUGAUGUAACAGUCCUCCGCUUCGCUGCAGAAAGUACUGAGUUCAUGAGUGGAUAAUGCUGAAAAAAUGCUUGCGUUGAGUAACUUUCACAACAGAAAGAAAAUAAAUAACAAUCAACUAAAAUCAACUGUAUCAACUAUUAUUAUCUUAUGUGAUCAGGCGUGUUAUAAACCAAUAAAUAAAUUAGGCAUAUUGCUUGUCUGCUGGGCUUUUAUUUUAUAAACUACUUUUAUAUUCUACAUUUUACUGUAGAAGUACUGUGUUAUAUAUGUGUAAUUCAACGACCUGUAACACGUUUCAAAUAUUUCUUCUCAAUACACCAUAUGUAAUAUAAUAAUAUACCAAUAUAAUAUAACAAUAUAUUAUGCCUUAACACUGUUUAAUAACAGAAUAUUAAAAUCCCAGUGAAGCUCAUGUCAUAUCUAUCAAUAUAAAACAAGCACA